GUCUUAUAUAUAUUCUGUUUACUGUAGGUGGAGGCUGUAAAAGGGAAUAUACUUCUACUCUCUGGUGUGGAUUUGGUUGAUGGGACGCCUGUACUUGAUGUCAAACCGUAUCUUCCUUACUGUGACAGCAUCCAAGAAGCAGGAGUGCCAAAGUGGUUAACGGUAGACAGGUCAUUUUCAGUGGCUUCUUUUAGUUUCUCUGAGGGCUUCACUUCAACACUUGCUCAAUGCUGGGCCAUAACAGUGAGUGAUCUAUCUUUUUGAAAAUAACACGUGCCAUUCUUAAGGGGAUUUUUUUCAAUUUUAUUUCUCUUUCCAAGUGUUCGUUUGUGGUUACAAAUUUCUUAAUACCUUGGUUUCUACCAUUUUAUUGUAAAAGCCAAACUCUUCAUCAAAGAAACAGCAAUGAGGCUUUUAUGGAUGCAAUGAUUAAGCGCAGAAACAAAAUUGGGCUUGUCUCAAAAGUAAAUAAAUAAACAAAUAGCAAGGACGAUAUAAUUGUUCACAUAUAGAUCAUUCUUUUCAGAAACAGGAAACUUAAACAUCAAAUUAUGCGAAGAUUCUGCUAUCCACCUAGGUGAGGGUCACCUGGUGACGUGGCAGAACGACAGCCGCCGAUCGGUUGGUCCAGGCCAUAUGUCAGGCUGGUCAGACCCAAUUUGACUAACGUGGAACUCUCCGUUACCGUCUUCUUAGAAACGGGUUUGAAGAAAAAAAAAAUUGCAACUUUGAUUCAGAGACAGAGAGAGAGAGAACGGGUAAAAAGUGGGUAAAAUCCCAAUAAUAAAGAAUGACAUCUCUGGAGCUAUUGUUCUUCUUCUUCUUCUUCACCGCCCCCGUGCUCGGAUACAAGCUCCCCAAACCCGAAAAUUCAUCUCUAUGAUUGAGGUAGAAACGAGGGGGCAAAAGCCUCAGUUCAUUGAGGUAGAAAGAAGGCGAGGUACCUCCCUCUGGUACCCUCCCCAAAGCCAUAUCACCGAUCAUGGGAUCGGUUAAUCCCAUUCUCGCCUCCGCCGAAAAACCAAGAAUUUCGAAGAAGAACUGGUGCAGAUUAAAGAAUCAGCCCCUCCGACUUAUCAUUCAAGGCAUUCGACGAUCCCUCUCCCUUUGCAUGUUGAAGACCGCUUCCAAGCUUGGAGCUGAUUCCAAGCAGAAAUCUGUUCAAACUGUCACAAAAACUGAGGUACCCAUCUUAAAUUUUGAUUGCUUUUUACCUUGAAUUUGUGUUCUUUGAUUGGUUUUCCAAUUGGGUCAAUCGGGUUUCUGAGUUGCUGCAAUAAACAAGAUUAGUUGAUAUAGGAUUAGGGAUAUCUCGAAAAAGUUGGUGUAUUUGAUUUUGGUUCUGGUUCUGGAUGAACAGAAUCGUGUGUAGCACGGGAAAAUCCAUACAGGUUGAAUGGUUGGUUGACUGGGUUGAGAUGUAUUGCUUGUCGGCAAGGUUUCGUGGCCAUAGGAGGUUAAUAUGCAGAUACUUGAUGUGAGGUGAAAGAUCGGAUCGGAGUUGGAUGACAGGUGGUGGUUUGGAUCGAGGAUUGGUGGCCAUCGUCAGUUUCGGUGGUUCUGCGUUCCUUGCAGAACUCGAAAUGGGCCUGGACUUGGUGGUUCGAAAUGGGCCUGGACGUUCGAAGGGCCUGGACGUUUGCCAUGGGCUUUUGGGGUUUUUUAUUGUUUUUAUUUAUUUUGUAUGUAUUUUUAUUUUUUAUGAAUAAAUAAACUACACUUUGUUAUCUCAAA